UGUCACUCAUGGCAAAUUUUC
rnacentral:piRNA from 1 species